CGCCCCUCCAGCCCGGCCUCAGCCCGGCCCGUGCGGGACCGGGCGCCAGGCCCGCGCCUCUCCAGGCAAACAGCAACACCACUCCCACAGUGCCCUUACCUGCGGCGGCCGGGUCGGGGCCAGUGCUGCCCCCGGCGCCGUUCCGGCUGUAGCCCCCCUGCCCUGGGCGACAGCAGACUAUCUCUGUGCUUCCCCCGGGGCUGCAGGCAACAGCAGAGCCAGCGUACUUGCCCCCUGUCGUCUCUGGUUCCAGAAAGACAAGCUGUGGCACUUCCUUUUUUCACAACCUUCUUCAUUACCCGAGUCUCUCUUCCUGCUGCUUAAGGGCUCUUCAAGUUUAAGAAGAAAGUUCUUCCUGCAGACCAGCUGGAUGAGGGACCUCCAAACUUGGCCUCCUGGGAUGGAGAGGGACAUUUUUGCUAGCAGGCCUAUUGGUACCUGUCUGGAAGAGAAGAACUACAUUCCCCAGGGGGCUUUGCAGUCAGAGAGGAGAUAUAACCUCUGGCAAAGUCACCUGAUGUCUCUUCUUCCUUCGGCUCUCCUCACUGUUGCUCGUCCUGACCUCACACAUUGCCUCAGCACUACUGGAGUUUGGGCUGCUUCCAAAGUCAUUGGCACUGAAAUGCAGAUCCUUCCGGCACCUCGACUGCCAGUGCUGAACUGGAUGUUUAAAGGAAAGGUUCCCUCCACCCAUCAUGCUACUGAUGCUACCUGGGGCAAGUGGAUUGUGUUGAUUAUGCAAGGAGCUCGGAUGGGGAACCUCAUCCAUCCAGGAAUCCUAGAGGUGAUCAUGGACUGGCCUGAAGGUAAAAAGUUUGGAGUGUCACCAGCAGAAGAGGUAUCACAAGCUAAAGAGGCCCCACUGUACAAUGAACUACCAGAAAAUGAAAAGAAAUAUGCCCUGCUCACAGACGGAUCGUGUCGUACUGCGGGGAAGCAUCGCAAAUGGAAAGCUGAUGUGUGGAGCCCCACAUGACAAGUUGAAGAGGCCACUGAAGGAAAAGGAGAAUCAAGCCAAUUUGCGGAGGUAAAAGCUGUCCAGCUGGCCUUAGAUGUUGCUAAAUGGGAGAGGUGGCCAAUGCUUUGUCUUUAUACUGACUCAUGGAUGGUGGCAAAUGCCUUAUGGGGGUGGUUACAGCAGUAGGAACAAAACAACUGACUAAGAAGGGGUAAACCUAUUUGGGCUCCUGAGCUGUUGGAAAGAAAUUGCUGCCCAAAUAAAAAAUAUGGUUGUAAAAGUGUGUCACGUAGAUGCUCAUGUACCCAAGAGGCGGGCUAUUGAAGAGCAACAGAACAACCAUCAGGUAGAUCGAGCUGCCAAAAUUAAGGUGGCUCAGACAGACUUGGACUGGCAACAAAAGGGUGAAUUAUUUCUAGCUCAGUGGGCCCAUGAGACCUCGGGCCAUCAAGGAAGAGAUGCAACAUAUAAGUGGGCUAGAGACUGAGGGGUGGACUUAACUAUGUACGCUAUAGCACAAGUUAUUCAUGACUGUGAAAUGUGCCAUUAUUAAACAAGGCGAGAGGACGAAAACUCUCUGGGAGGAACAGCAAUGGCCUACUGCCCCUCUGUCACGGGCAUAGAUUUAUCUACAUUGAUCUAGAUAACUCCGUGACAGGGGUGUGAGGCAUUAAGAAUCCCCUGCUGAUAUACAGUGUUGGACUACAGAAAGACAAAAGAAUACAGUGGAGUUAGUAUACUGUUUCUGUAUCACAGCAUCACCUUUGGUAGUUCUAUUGCUGGAACUGUGAU
rnacentral:lncRNA from 1 species